AUUGACGUUACCCGCAGAAGAAGCACCGGCUAACUCCGUGCCAGCAGCCGCGGUAAUACGGAGGGUGCAAGCGUUAAUCGGAAUUACUGGGCGUAAAGCGCACGCAGGCGGUCUGUCAAGUCGGAUGUGAAAUCCCCGGGCUCAACCUGGGAACUGCAUUCGAAACUGGCAGGCUAGAGUCUUGUAGAGGGGGGUAGAAUUCCAGGUGUAGCGGUGAAAUGCGUAGAGAUCUGGAGGAAUACCGGUGGCGAAGGCGGCCCCCUGGACAAAGACUGACGCUCAGGUGCGAAAGCGUGGGGAGCAAACAGGAUUAGAUACCCCGGUAGUCAA
rnacentral:rRNA from 1 species